GAUGAACGCUAGCGGCAGGCCUAACACAUGCAAGUCGAGGGAGAAGCCUUUCGGGGCAGAAACCGGCGCACGGGUGCGUAACGCGUAUGCAACCUACCUUUCACAGGGGGGAUAGCCCGAAGAAAUUUGGAUUAAUACCCCAUAAUAUUGUUGGAUGGCAUCAUCUGAUAAUUAAAACUGAGGUGGUAAAAGAUGGGCAUGCGUCCUAUUAGCUAGUUGGAGUGGUAACGGCACCCCAAGGCUACGAUAGGUAGGGGUCCUGAGAGGGAGAUCCCCCACACUGGUACUGAGACAGGGACCAGACUCCUACGGGAGGCAGCAGUGAGGAAUAUUGGUCAAUGGUCGGAAGACUGAACCAGCCAUGCCGCGUGCAGGAAGAAUGCCUUAUGGGUUGUAAACUGCUUUUAUAUGGGAAGAGUAAGGUGUACGUGUACAUUGAUGACGUACCAUAUGAAUAAGCAUCGCA
rnacentral:rRNA from 1 species